AAGGAGAGUAGAAGAAGAUUCAUAUCUCUGCAAAUAUUUUUCGAGCUAAUUCCUGUAUGUAAAUACGUGCAGUUUCUUGGAUUGUUUAAAGAAAAGAAAAGAAAAUACAAGCAGUUACUUGGAAAAGGGAAAUUACGUAGACAUGAGAGGAGGAUAGAUGGCAGAGCAACGCCAUUAUCAAGAUUCCAUCGGACUCUACCUAACGAGGCGUGUGCUCCUCUCAUGCCCAAGUAGGCCCUCGCCCACCCAUCUCGUCAUGGACCCAAUAUCCCUCCAUUGCUUGCGCCUCCCUCUUCUUCCAUCUCCAGUGAUCUCCUCUAUAAAUUCAUGCAUGACCCAAGAGCGGAGGUACAGCCAUUUGCUUCAAAAACUCAAUAACGCCCCAGUUUUCUUCAGUUUCGAAG
rnacentral:misc_RNA from 1 species